GGUCCAGUAGCUCAGUUGGAUAGAGCAACGGCCUUCUAAGCCGUGGGUCGGGGGUUCGAAUCCCUCCUGGAUCACCA
rnacentral:tRNA from 2 species